rnacentral:lncRNA from 1 species
ACAAAUUUUUGCUCAAUACUUGAAACAAACGCCGAAAGUGAUGAUUUUAAAGCUUGGUCAUUGGUUAGAUGAUUCCAUUCAACGACUGUUCGUGGAAAGAAGGAAUACUUAAAACAAUUAUUACGCGUACUAAAUGGGUUAUUCUAAUGACAUUUGUU